AGCUCGUGUCGUGAGACCCCUGUUGGGUUAAGUCCGUAACGAGCGCAACCUUGUCCUUAGUUACCAGCACGUUAUGGUGGGCACUCUAAGGAGACUGCCGGUGACAAACCGGAGGAAGGUGGGGAUGACGUCAAGUCAUCAUGGCCCUUACGGCCUGGGCUACACACGUGCUACAAUGGUCGGUACAAAGGGUUGCCAAGCCGCGAGGUGGAGCUAAUCCCAUAAAACCGAUCGUAGUCCGGAUCGCGGUCUGCAACUCGACUGCGUGAAGUCGGAAUCGCUAGUAAUCGUGAAUCAGAAUGUCACGGUGAAUACGUUCCCGGGCCUU
rnacentral:rRNA from 1 species